rnacentral:sRNA from 1 species
AGAUGCACCUUUAGGGUGUAAAUUUUAAUUUAGCUUGCAAUAUUUCCCUUCACCUGCUAUGAUAAAAGUAAUUAUUUUUGUUCGGUGUAAAGGAUCGUAUGAAUAUCCACUUUUCAUCUUGCUAAUACUUUGAGCAACAAUAGUAAUAUAAUGUGCACAACGCACUGGGAGGCAACAAAAAUGGAACAAGGUACAGUUAAAUGGUUCAACGCAGAAAAAGGUUUUGGCUUUAUCGAACGUGAAGGUGGAGACGACGUAUUCGUACACUUCUCCGCAAUCCAAAGCGACGGUUUCAAAUCGUUGGACGAAGGUCAGCACGUAACAUUCGACGUUGAGCAAGGUCCACGUGGCGCUCAAGCUGCCAACGUUCAAAAAGCUUAAUCCAAAAUCGUCUCUAAAACAGGCCCUGUAUGGGGCCUGUUUUUUA